rnacentral:rRNA from 1 species
AGUGAACGCUGGCGGUAGGCCUAACACAUGCAAGUCGAACGGCAGCACAGUAAGAGCUUGCUCUUACGGGUGGCGAGUGGCGGACGGGUGAGGAAUACAUCGGAAUCUACUUUUUCGUGGGGAUAACGUAGGGAAACUUACGCUAAUACCGCAUACGACCUACGGGUGAAAGCAGGGGAUCUUCGGACCUUGCGCGAUUGAAUGAGCCGAUGUCGGAUUAGCUAGUUGGCGGGGUAAAGGCCCACCAAGGCGACGAUCCGUAGCUGGUCUGAGAGGACGAUCAGCCACACUGGAACUGAGACACGGUCCAGACUCCUACGGGAGGCAGCAGUGGGGAAUAUUGGACAAUGGGCGCAAGCCUGAUCCAGCCAUACCGCGUGGGUGAAGAAGGCCUUCGGGUUGUAAAGCCCUUUUGUUGGGAAAGAAAAGCAGCAGGUUAAUACCCCGCUGUUCUGACGGUACCCAAAGAAUAAGCACCGGCUAACUUCGUG